rnacentral:rRNA from 1 species
AUUGAACGCUGGCGGCAGGCCUAACACAUGCAAGUCGAGCGAGCGGCGGACGGGUGAGUAAUGUAUGGGGAUCUGCCUGAUGGAGGGGGAUCACCACUGGAAAAGGUCUCUAAUACCGCAUACCAUCAGAUGAACCCAUAUGGGAUUAGCUUGUAGGUGAGGUAACGGCUCACCUAGGCGACGAUCCCUAGCUGGUCUGAGAGGAUGAUCAGCCACACUGGGACGGAGACACGGCCCAGACUCCUACGGGAGGCAGCAGUGGGGAAUAUUGCACAAUGGGCGCAAGCCUGAUGCAGCCAUGCCGCGUGUGUGAAGAAGGCCUUCGGGUUGUAAAGUACUUUCAGCGAGGAGGCGUUACCCGCAGAAGAAGCACCGGCUAACUCCGUGCCAGCAGCCGCGGUAAUAC